GAUGAACGCUGGCGGCGUGCCUAAUACAUGCAAGUCAAGCGAACAGACGAGGAGCUUGCUCCUCUGACGUUAGCGGCGGACGGGUGAGUAACACGUGGAUAACCUACCUAUAAGACUGGGAUAACUUCGGGAAACCGGAGCUAAUACCGGAUAAUAUAUUGAACCGCAUGGUUCAAUAGUGAAAGACGGUUUUGCUGUCACUUAUAGAUGGAUCCGCGCCGCAUUAGCUAGUUGGUAAGGUAACGGCUUACCAAGGCGACGAUGCGUAGCCGACCUGAGAGGGUGAUCGGCCACACUGGAACUGAGACACGGUCCAGACUCCUACGGGAGGCAGCAGUAGGGAAUCUUCCGCAAUGGGCGAAAGCUUGACGGAGCAACGCCGCGUGAGUGAUGAAGGUCUUCGGAUCGUAAAACUCUGUUAUUAGGGAAGAACAAAUGUGUAAGUAACUAUGCACGUCUUGACGGUACCUAAUCAGAAAGCCACGGCUAACUACGUG
rnacentral:rRNA from 1 species